UGAGGAAUAUUGGUCAAUGGUCGCUAGACUGAACCAGCCAAGUAGCGUGCGGGAUGAAGGCCCUCCGGGUCGUAAACCGCUUUUAGACGGGGAUAAAAGGGCGUACGUGUACGCCGUAUUGCAUGUACCGUCAGAAAAACGGACCGGCUAAUUCCGUGCCAGCAGCCGCGGUAAUACGGAAGGUCCGGGCGUUAUCCGGAUUUAUUGGGUUUGAAAGGGAGCGUAGGCGGACUUUCAAGUCAGUGGUAAAAUCGUGUGGCUCAACCAUACCUCGCCAUUGAAACUGGAAGUCUGGAGUGCACACAGGGGUGCCGGAAUUCAUGGUGUAGCGGUGAAAUGCUUAGAUAUCAUGAAGAACUCCGAUCGCGAAGGCAAGUGCCCGGGGUGCAACUGACGCUGAGGCACGAAAGCGUGGGUAUCGAACAGGAUUAGAUACC
rnacentral:rRNA from 1 species